AGCAGUGGGGAAUUUUGGACAAUGGGGGAAACCCUGAUCCAGCCAUCCCGCGUGUGCGAUGAAGGCCUUCGGGUUGUAAAGCACUUUUGGCAGGGAAGAAACGGCGCCGGAUAAUACCUGGCGUCACUGACGGUACCUGCAGAAUAAGCACCGGCUAACUACGUGCCAGCAGCCGCGGUAAUACGUAGGGUGCAAGCGUUAAUCGGAAUUACUGGGCGUAAAGCGUGCGCAGGCGGUUUGGAAAGAAAGGUGUGAAAUCCCAGAGCUUAACUUUGGAACUGCACUUUUAACUGCCAAGCUAGAGUAUGUCAGAGGGGGGUAGAAUUCCACGUGUAGCAGUGAAAUGCGUAGAGAUGUGGAGGAAUACCGAUGGCGAAGGCAGCCCCCUGGGAUAAUACUGACGCUCAUGCACGAAAGCGUGGGGAGCAAACAGGAUUAGAUACCCUGGUAGUCCACGCCCUAAACGAUGUCAACUAGCUGUUG
rnacentral:rRNA from 1 species